ensembl:lncRNA
UAUAUACAGGGUAUUACGGUACAGAGUCAAUGUGGAGGCUAUAUACAGGGUAUUACGGUACAGGGUCAAUGUGGAGACUAUAUACAGGGGGUACCAGUACAGAGUCAAUGUGGAGACUAUAUACAGGGGGUACCGGUACAGAGUCAAUGUGGAGGUUAUAUACAGGGGGUACCGGUACAGAGUUAAUGUGGAGGCUAUAUACAGGGGUACCGGUACAGAGUCAAUGUGGAGGCUAUAUACAGGGGGUACCGGUACAGAGUCAAUGUGGAGGCUAUAUACAGGGUGUUACGGUACAGAGUCAAUGUGGAGACUAUAUACAGGGUGUUACGGUACAGAGUCAAUGUGGAGACUAUAUACAGGGGGUACCGGUACAGAGAAUGUGUGGGGACACUGGUUAGUCGAGUUAAUAUAUAUAUGUAGGCAGAGAUAUUAAAGUGACUAUGCAUAGAGAGAGUGGCAGCAAAUAGUCUGGGUAGUCAUUUGAUUAGAUGUUCAGGAGUCUUAUGACUUGGGGGUAGAAUCUGUUUAGAAGCCUCUUGGACCUAGACUUGGCGCUCCGGUACCGCUUGCCGUGCGGUAGCAGAGAGAACUGUAGCUGUGGUUCCACUGGCAAUCCCAGCCUAGGAAUGUUGAAGCCCCCAAAGUGAAAAUGAAAAUCUUCUCCAUGGUUAAAGGGAAUGAGUUCCCCACUGAAAAAAAGGGAAGGGGGAGAAAUUAAAGUUCAUAAGUAACACAAUACUCUUAAGUGAAAGUAGUUUGGGAUUUAAUAUAUCUAUUACAUUUUUGGGGGGCCCAUGGAAGAAUAAGGCGACAAAAUGCUGUCCCACAGUUGUGAGAGUGAAUAAGUGAUGUUUUACUGAUGUGGGCCAUGUUACUUCGAUGAUCAUGGUUUUGCAUCUAACCUUCCACCUCCAGCAGCCAG